rnacentral:tRNA from 1 species
CAAAAUAUAGCUUAACUAAAGCAACUUGCUUACACCAAGAAGAUUGCCCAAUAACUUCUGGACUAUUUUGA